CCUACGGGUGGCUGCAGUGAGGAAUAUUGGACAAUGGGGGCAACCCUGAUCCAGCCAUGCCGCGUGUGUGAAGAAGGCCUUAGGGUUGUAAAGCACUUUCAGCUGUGAAGAUAAUGACAGUAGCAGAAGAAGAAGCUCCGGCUAAAUUCGUGCCAGCAGCCGCGGUAAUACGAAUGGAGCGAGCGUUGUUCGGAAUCACUGGGCGUAAAGGGUGCGCAGGCGGUUAUGAAAGUCAGAAGUGAAAUCCCAGGGCUUAACCCUGGAAUUGCUUUUGAAACUCCAUGACUUGAGUACUGGAGAGGUUAGCGGAAUUCCGAGUGUAGCAGUGAAAUGCGUAGAUAUUCGGAGGAACACCAAUGGCGUAGGCAGCUAACUGGACAGUAACUGACGCUCAUGCACGAAAGCGUGGGGAUCAAACAGGAUUAGAUACCCGAGUAGUC
rnacentral:rRNA from 1 species